GACGAACGCUGGCGGCGUGCUUAACACAUGCAAGUCGAACGGAAAGGCCCUGCUUUUGUGGGGUGCUCGAGUGGCGAACGGGUGAGUAACACGUGAGUAACCUGUCCUUGUCUUUGGGAUAACUUCAGGAAACUGGGGCUAAUACCGGAUAGGAGCUCUUGCUGCAUGGUGGGGGUUGGAUAGUUUCGGCGGUUGGGGAUGGACUCGCGGCCUAUCCGCUUGUUGGUGGGGUAGUGGCUUACCAAGGCUUUGACGGGUAGCCGGCCUGAGAGGGUGACCGGCCAAAUUGGGACUGAGAUACGACCCAGACUCCUACGGGAGGCAACAGUGGAGAAGAUAACACAAGAGACUGAAGCCAAAUGCAGCAACGCCACGUGCGGGAAGACGGCCAUCGGGUUGUAAAGCGCAUUCGCCUGAGACGAAAAGAGAAUGACGGUAAUGGGUAAAGAAGCACCGGCUAACUACGUG
rnacentral:rRNA from 1 species